UCAUCACCAAAAUCCAGCCGUCUACAAAUACCCAGCACUGCCACUACCACCCUUCCCCAGCUCUUCGUCUUGUCUCCCUGGCUUCCCUCAUCAUCCUUGUGUUUCCUUCUCCCUGGUCAUCUCCCAAGGCUGCUGGUCUCCACCCUCGUCCACAGUAGCAUCUUGAUCAUCCCCAUCUUCAAAAAAUUAUUUUCUAAUCCACUACUUUCCUACCCCUUGUGGUUGUCUUUACCUAGUUCACUAGUUCAGAAGCCCCACUCAACACAAAUGACAGAAAAUGAGGAGCUGUCCUGAAGGUAACCUGAGCCUGAUAGGUCGGUAUUUGGCAUCCUCUGUUAUGAAUGGCGGUUAGAUCAGCCCCUGAGGCACUGUCAGACUUGCAGUAAUUG